GCCGUCCGGGCCCCGCCGUCCACUCCCCUCCCUUCCCCUCCCCUCCCCGCAGCCCCUCGGCGCUCGCGGCCGUCAGCGGCGCCGCCAUGGCGCUGGAAGCGGAGGCUGCCGGGGCUCCCCUCGGCUCCUUCCUCAGGGACUUCCCGUCCGCUCUGGGCCCGGGGGAGCCGCUGCCGUGGAGCUCGGCGUGGAGCGGCGCCCUGAGCGAGGCCGAGGCGCCGGGCGCGCUGGCCGAGUUGGCGGGGAACCUCCUGGGCGGCAGCAGAGGUGUUUCGCCACUCCUUGCAGCAUCUGUGAUCCACACUGCAGUUGAUGAAGUUCUCCGAACAGACUUGACUAAAUUUAAGAGGGAAAGUGUGGAAAGACAGGGAGAAGGCGAGGAGGAAAGAUUCACCUUGCUGGACGGAGAGUCGCUGCAGCGCUGCUUCUUUAACAGACUUCGGGAUGUGUGCUUUGAAUGCCAGAAGCAGUCGCCACCACUGAGACCGCUGAAGCGUUUCCUGCUUGUUUCCACCCAUGCCAUCCGUAACACUCGACGGAAAAUGGAGGACCGCCAUGUUAUCCUCAUGGAGUUCAAUCAGCUGUUUGGCUUAGCAGAUGACAUCGAUCGUGCUUACUUUGCGAUAUUUGAUGGCCAUGGUGGAGUGGAUGCUGCCAAUUAUUCAGCAACACAUUUACAUGUAAAUGUGGGGCUGCACCAGGAGAUUGUUAAGAAUCCAGCUGAGGCCUUGAAAUGCUCUUUCCAGAAGACAGAUGAAAUGUUUCUUUUCAAAGCUAAAAGAGAGAGGCUGCGGAGUGGCACAACAGGUGUAUCUGCAUUGAUUGUGGGGAACAAACUACACAUAGCAUGGCUAGGGGACUCGCAGGUAAUGCUUGUGCAGCAAGGAAAUGCUGUGACAUUAAUGGAACCUCACAAACCAGAGAGAGAAGAUGAGAGAGCACGUAUUGAGGCUCUGGGUGGAUGUGUAACCUACAUGGACUGCUGGCGGGUUAAUGGCACUUUGGCUGUUUCCAGAGCAAUUGGUGAUGUGUGUCAAAAGCCUUACAUCUCUGGUGAUGCAGAUGGAGAUUCGUUUGACCUGACUGGUUCUGAAGAUUACUUGCUUCUAGCCUGUGAUGGAUUCUUUGAUGCUGUCAAGCCACAUGAGGUUGUAGACUUAGUCCUAGAUCAUUUAAUGCAAACCAAAGGAGUGGGUCUCAAAGCAGCAGAAAGACUGGUGGCUGCUGCGAAGGAAAAUGGAUCCAAUGACAACAUUACUGUUCUAGUGGUGUUCUUGAGGGAUCCACAGGACAUCUUGGCAGACUGUCUCAGAGACACUAAGAGCCUUGAGACUGGGGAUGAUGCUCGGAGCUCACCCUUUAAUUUCCUCAGCUGUGAGGCAGCAGCCACACAGUGACAAAAUCUGCUUAAUCCAGAAGGUUUAAAAGUUUGCUUAAGGAACUGCUUUCCACUGAAGUAAGCCUCUAAUACAAUAGGCAAAAUGCAUCAGGAAAAAUGACAAAUGGACAAACAUUUAACAAAAAGGAAAGUCUCCUUUUACUGAGUUCCCAUUUGUCUUUUCUUUCUCUUUCCCUCCAUUCAAAAAACCCUGGAGAGCCAUGGAGAUUCGUACAGCUCUCUUGUCUGUGGGAGUGGAAUUCUAAAACAUGUCCCAGGACUGCUGCCAUAUCCUUCUGCCCUGGGGUGGCAAAAAGUUGAAUGUGGUCUGAUCUUUGGAGGCCUGCAACACCAAGAGUAUAGAAGGUACCAUGUCAGCUAGGAAGGUAUGAGACUAGAACAACUCGUACUUUUGGCAUUGCCCAGUACUGGCUGGUUAAGAAGAAAAUCCUGCUAUUUGCAUGCUAUUUCCUAGGAAUAAUUGAGCUUUUUUUUCAGGUAAGAGUAGCUCUUGUCCCAGAUACAGGGCUUGAGAGACUUUCUAGUCUCUGGUUUCUGCUCCUGCAGGCUGUUGGUGUUUUCACCCUUUGCACUGUGUUUAAAGGAGGCUUCUGAGUUUCUCCACUGCUUCAGUGCUCUCUGUUUCCUGCCCUAGUUGGUUUAGCAGGCAGGCUGGUAACUGCAGCAUGGCACAUGGUUAACCAACCUCUCUGUCAGAGUACCUCCUCAACAUCUGCUCUAUUAUAGCUUCACUCCUUCGCUUAUUUAGAAAUGGAACUUCUAAGUAACUACUGCUGACACACAAACGUGUCCUUAUCAGUAUUAAAAUAGUCCACAAGCAGAACUGUUGCUUUAGGCACAUUUCUUGCCACUGUGUUGGCUAAUGAACCUUGAAUGAAAGUGAAAUGGCCAGUGAAUUUGAAGUAGGAGCUGUUAAGCAAGUGUUGUAGAGCUGUAGUCUUUAUUUAUUUUGUAUAUUAAUCUGCACUUGUGACACAGAGCAGAAAAGCUGCAGCACAGCAGAUUCUAUAAGCUGUGACUUAACCAGUUUCUAGUAUCUUAAAACUCUUUAUUUAAACUGAGUGGUUCUGCACACAGGUCAGAAGCCUGUUGUCAUUGAUCAUUACAUGCUGUGCGUAUCGUGUGUUUGUUUAUACAAACUGUUCUAACAGUGCUGGUGUGUAUUAUGCUACAUUACCAUAUUUUAUAUAUAUCUGUAUGUAUGUAUGGCGUGAGGUUUAAUUGUUGGGGUUUUUUUGUAUUGUCACUUUUGUAUUCACACAGUGCCUCAUGUAUCUACUUGCAUAUGUCAAGAAAUUGCUUCAAAGCAGUGACUGGAAACAAGCGAGGAGAAGAACUCUUUGCUGUGGGAUUUGAUGUUUCUGAAGUGUUAAUAAAGCAUACUGAUUGCAA